rnacentral:miRNA from 1 species
ACACAUCCAAUUAUAAUGCA